rnacentral:rRNA from 1 species
GUCUAUGGCCAUACCACCCUGAACGCGCCCGAUCUCGUCUGAUCUCAGAAGCUAAGCAGGGUCAGGCCUGGUUAGUACUUGGAUGGAAGAAACUUUCUCAUGCUGAUU